rnacentral:lncRNA from 10 species
CUCAGGAGGCUGAGGUGGGAGGAUCAGUUGAGCCCAGGAGGUCAAGGCUGCAGUAAGCUAUCACUGCACCACUGCACUCCAGCCUGGGUGACAGAGCAAGACUCUGUUUCUUUAAAAACAAAACAAAACAAAAAAAUCUUAUAUUUUCUCAAAAUCGGAGUCCACUCAUGGGAUGUGUCAUUUUAUUAGCUAUAUAUAUACAUCUAUGCCGUUUGGAUUUGAAUGUCAUCCAUUAUCUGUUGCAGUGGGUUGAAUGGUGUCCCCUUCCCCCAAAAAAAGACAUGCCCAAUCCCUAAGUCCCAGUACCUGUGAAUGCGGCCUUGCUUGGAAAUCAUAUCUUUGCAGAUGUCAUGAAGAGAAGGAUCUCAAGUUGAGAUUAUCCUACAUUAGUUGUGUGAGCCCUGAAUGCAAUGAACCUUAUAAGACAAAAGGAGAAACAGAUACAGAAAGAGACAUGGGAGAAGGUGAUGUGACCACAUAGGCAGAGAUGGGAGUGACGCAGCAGCAAGCCAGGGAGCCCUACGGAUGGCCGGC